AGAGACGGGGAGAAGGAUGGGGAGAAAUGAGGAACAGGAAGAAGAUUCCGAGAGAAAUAAAGAGGCCGAGAGGAGCUGAGCCAGGCAGCCGGUGGAGCAGGCAGAUGGAACAACAGAGACAAAGAACAGAGCCACAGAGUGGGCACACAGCAAGGCCUGGCAGCCAAGCCCUGUGGGUUUGGUGGGAGCAGAUGCUUGUAUGGGAGCAGCAGCUGAUGGCCCCCAGCACGUGCAUCCUUGUUGACUCCAGGCCCAGCACAGCCUCCUCGGCAGCCGGCCUUAGCCUGGAGGAGCAACCCUGGUCCAGAGAGGCAGACGAAUGGCAGCCCUGCCCCGUGGGGGCUCCGGUUCUUCUCCUCCAUCCUCCUCCAGGCUCCGCCCACCUGCUCCGUCUGCCUCCCAGGGCCUCGUGAAUCCCAGGGAAGCCAUGAGCUGCCACAUCACGCCCGGAAGGAAGCGGGCUGCGUUGGAGGGUUGAAGAGAUGAAGGCGCAGAGGCAUGAACUCCCGUAGCCAGAGAGUGUGAGCUGGACUCUACCUGGAG
rnacentral:lncRNA from 10 species